rnacentral:rRNA from 1 species
CGUUGAGAAGGGCCUACCCGGCCUCCAGGUGAAGGGGAGACCCCUACCUGGAUUCGCAGUGGACUAAAAUCCACGUAUUAGGGUGGACCGCAGGAACCCACCGGGGUUCCUCACGAGUUCGGGGCGUAAGACUCUGGCCCUAUAAACGGGCCCCAGGAGCGGCCGGGGUUUGCAGCCCCAAAUACCGACAUUGUCCUUGGCCGUAAGCGAGCCGAUUAGUUCACGCUUGGCGCUCCCCCUCCAAACCCCAACCCUUGAAUACCUUACCUCUGUUGCCUCGGCGGGUACCGCCCGCCGGUGGACGCAAACCAAACUUCCUGUUGUAACAGCGUAGUCUGAGCAAACAAAGCAAUAGUUAAAACUUUCAACAACGGAUCUCUUGGUUCUGGCAUCGAUGAAGAACGCAGCGAAAUGCGAUAAGUAGUGUGAAUUGCAGAAUUCAGUGAAUCAUCGAAUCUUUGAACGCACAUUGCGCCCUUUGGCAUCCCGAAGGGCAUGCCUGUUCGAGCGUCAUUUCACCUCUCAAGCCUGGCUUGGUGUUGGGGGACGUCCCACCCUAUGGGUGCGGACCCCCCCUAAAAUCAUCGGCGAUUCGAUGUCGGCUCUGAGCGUAGCACAAACCUCGCUCUGUGGGCCCGGCGUCGCGUUGGCCGCGAACCACUUCUCAA